rnacentral:misc_RNA from 1 species
AAGUCGUAACAAGGUUUCCGUAGGUGAACCUGCGGAAGGAUCAUUAGCGAAGUUCGGAAUGCAUGUUCGAUGUUGAUGCUGCCCAGAAAUGGGAUGUGCUCGCUCGGAUGUGUGUCCCUUCUCUAUCCACCCCAUUGUGAACCAAGUGUGUGAGCCGAAGAGAAAUCGGACGCUCGCAUGCAAACCUUUAACAUACCCCAACAAAGUAUCAGAAUGUACCUUGCGUUAACUCGCACAAAUAUAACUUUCAACAACGGAUCUCUUGGCUCUC